CCUACGGGAGGCAGCAGUGGGGAAUAUUGCGCAAUGGGCGAAAGCCUGAUGCAGCAACGCCGCGUGAAGGAAGACGGGUUUCGGCUUGUAAACUUCUUUUUACAGGGACGAAAUAAAUUACGGUACUUGGAUUAGAAGCCCCGGCUAACUACGUGCCAGCAGCCGCGGUAAUACGUAGGGUGCAAGCGUUAUCCGGAAUUACUGGGUGUAAAGGGUGUGUAGGCGGCAUGGUAAGCCAGAUGUGAAAGCCGUGGGCUGAACCCGAGAAUUGCAUUUGGCACUAUCGAUCUUGAGUGCAGGGGGGGAAGGCGGAAUUCCUAGUGUAGCGGUGAAAUGCGUAGAUAUUAGGAAGAACACCAGUGGCGAAGGCGGCUUUCUGGACUGAAACUGACGCUGAGGCACGAAAGCGUGGGGAGCAAACAGGAUUAGAUACCCUUGUAGUC
rnacentral:rRNA from 1 species